AGCACAUAGAAAAUUUGUGUUAUAAGUUGUGUUGAUCGUUUUACUUUAUUAUACAAUUUUUCAUUUCAGGUAUUGUGUCUCCAUAUCAAAAGAUUCCGAUGGCAGUCCUAUUUCAGGGUGAAACUGGAUACAUUUGUGGAGUUCCCGCUGAAAGAUUUAAACAUGAACAAAUAUGUAUUAAACAAUCUAGUAAGUAUUGGAAUCACAUUAAACUAUUUGGAUUUAUUUUGUUAGACAUUAUAAUUGUGCGGGGGAAAAAGUUUUCCAGUUUAUGGCAGGUUUUUGUCUCUGUUAAAGAAUGUAUUCACUUAUCUGGACUCGAUAUAAAGCUCACAAAUGGUAUAUGGUACACAUUUUGUUAUUGUUGAAGAUAAAAUUAAGCCUUUACAUUUCUUUUAUUUUUACUAAUGUUUGUGUAACUGUCUGUAUCUUGUAUAAGUAUGAAUUAAGCAAUACUAUUUUAUUUAAUACAUUUUUUUUAAUGUUUAUUUUUUCUUCAUUUCAGCAUGAGACGCGAGGAAGUGGUAAGGGAGCAGCCAAUGAGUAUGAUUUAGCAGCAGCAAUUGUUCAUCAUGGUUCUGGGUACGUUAAAGUAGAAUGUUGAUACCUUAUUAGAUCACAAAAUUAAUAUAAAAAUUCACUUUUCUUUCUGACAACCCACUGUUUUAUGUGUUGACCCCAUAUAAGGCCACAAAGAAGAUGGAAAAUUCAAUUUUCUUCCAAAGACCAAUCCAUCUAGUGUAAGCACCUGUUUUGUAGAUACAAAAAACACAAAAUUCUGUUCUGAGAAUUCGCUCAAGUACAAAUCAUGAUUAACAUGUUUUCUGUAGGAAAUUUGUAGGUUGACCGACAUCAAAUAUAUGUUCCAGCAAUACCCCCUACUAAAUUGGACAAAUACCAAAUUUACUGGACUAAUGUCAAAAGAUAUUCUGAUAGCAUUUUCUAUUACUCAUAUCUUGCUAUAAAUGCAGCCUUUAUUUGUUUCAAAUAUGAUCAAGGGGAGGGAAGGGUAACAAUUGGAAUUUAUAGAAUACACAAUUGCAAAAACCAAUGGAUUUAGGUAGCGUUCAUUUGUCAUUAUUUUAUUUUAGGGCUGGAUCUGGUCACUAUACAGCAUAUGCACAGCAUGAUGGUAAAUAUUGAAUUCUUAAAACUAUCUUUCAAAUAAUUCUUAAAGUCAUAUGAAACCUCAAAUUAAAAAAAAUAUGCAUCUGUUUUUUAUAACUAAAUGGAUAGUUUUCAUUAUAAAACUUUUGUACAUAUACUUUUUUCUGAGGAAAAUUCUUUAAUUUGUCCACAUUUAGAAGAAGUUUACUUAUUUUUAAUUGCUUGCUUCCAGGAAGCAAUUCGCCGACAUAUUUUCCGUAUGCAUAGUGACCUGAGCGUAACCCUCCUCGUAAAAAUCCGGUGAUCGCAAUACGCAUGAAUCUGUCAUUAAAAUAAACAAUUAUCUGAUUGUACAUGUUAAGCACGUGCUCAAUACCCAUGCUUUUUGUUAUUUAUUUACUAUAAGGUGACAAUCGGUAAACUUCGGCUUCAAAACACGGCAUUUAAUGAGCAGCCAUAUUUGUUAAAUCAUAACAGAGAGAAAAAAAAUUGACGAUUAUACGAUAUAUUUGCGUAAAUAAUGAUAAAAUCGUGCACAGAGGACUUAGUUUGUGAUAUAUACAUGCAUUGGUUCAAGAAUUGGAAAAACAUUAUUUUUCACCACUCACUCGUUUCAUAUGACUUUAAAGAGGAUAAUAACAUUAUUCAAAAGAAUUUCAGUUUUCCUAUUCAUAGUAUGGAAAAUGAUUACAAGUCUUUAUUAUAAUGAAUACCAUAAUAAAAUAACUAUUUUUCAAAAAGAGUGCAAAAAACAAAGAUAAAUGACAAGAUUUUUUGAAAAAGAACACAAGUGGCUUGGAUAAUGAUAUACAGUUGACAAUCUAUCAUGUUCUCUGAUAACAACACUAAAAUGACACAAGUUCAUAUACAAGUGUAGAAAGAUAAGAUUUUUUUAAUAUAAAAAAGAAGAUGUGGUAAGAUUUUUUUAAUAUAAAAAAGAAGAUGUGGUAUGAUUGCCAAUGAGACAACUCUACAUAAGAGACCAAAAUGACACAGAAAUUAACAACUAUAGGUCAUCGUACGGUACGGCCUUCAACAUUGAGCAAAGCCCAUACCACAUGGUCAGCUUUAAAAGGCCCAGAAGUGACAAUGUAAAACAAUGUAAAACGAGAAAGCUAACAGCCUUAUUUUUUUUUAAGAAUGAAUGAUAAACAAACGACAACCACUGAAUUACAGGCUCCUGACUUGGGACAGGCACAUACAUACAUAAUGUUUCAAAAUCAUAAAAGUACAAGAUAUUAAUUUUCUUUAAUAGUAAAAUUCAUCACCAUUUAUAUUUUUUAGGUCAGUGGUUUAAUUUCAAUGACAGUACAGUAACAAUGUGUGAAGAACAGACAGUAGCCCGAUGUAAAGCUUACAUCCUGUUUUAUAUACGACGAGAGUUUAAAAUUCCUGAUUACUUCAAUGGAACCUCACACAGAUGAACCUUGUGACCUUGUUGUAAAACGUGUAUGAUUGAGUAGAAAGUCCAAGGUGUUGGGUUGUGUUCUCCAGGAGAAAUGUCAUUGUCAUUGAUUGUAAGAGAGAGAAAAAGAUAAUGAAGUCAACACUGAAAUUGCAGUGAAUAAAUGUAAACAUUACUUGAAUGAAUUUGUUAUACACAUGUAAUGAUAGAAUUGAUUUAACCUUCAUUGUAAACAAAUUUAUUGUAAUGUGGAUACAAAUAAUUUAUGAACAAAAAAAAAAAAAUACUAGUCGUACAAUCUUCUACUAUAUUUGUCAUCAAUGUCAGACUGAUUAAUUCUUUAGUCUUUUCAAUGGGCAUUUUAUAAGAUGUACCUAUUUUUGUUUCUUUGUUAGACUGACAUUAAAAAAAUUGUAGUGUCCAUGCCAUAAAUUAAGUUUCAACUACUAUCAAUUCAGAAAUUAUUGCAAUGUUUUUAUUAUUGCAAAAAAUGCAACAGGGUUCAUCAUUGCAAUUUAAACUAGCACUUUGAAGUUUUAAUAUGAAUAUAAAUAAAACAGGAUUUUUCUCAAUAUCAUGAAUAUCACAAAAAUUAAAAUCGGCUUUUAGUCUAAAAUGACAAAAUCACAUAAUAAAUGCUUGCAAUAAUUUCUGAAUUUACAGUUUUGUAGUUUGACAGGAUGUCUUGUAAUUAUGGUUUAUAAUAUUUAAUUAAUUUAUUGCAAGCUUGCAAGUGCUUUUUCCUGUCUCUAAGUAAAGGCAUGUAGUAUAAGGAAGUCAAAAGAAAACCACCAAGGUAUUAUUUAUUUGAUUUUAUGUAAUGCUAAUGGAAAAACAUUUCUAUCACUCUUAACUUGCACAAAACAAGAGUAAAAACUUUAUAAACAAAUCCUUAUAAAAUCUUGGGGUAAACUGCAAAAAAUAUUUGACGUCAUCUGGUCAGAUGUAUGUCAAAUUCUUUGAUUGGAGUUGUGUGUUUCUACUGUCCUUUAUAUUGAAAAUGCCAAGAUGAUUUAUUUGAAAGUAUAAACACCUUUUAAAAAAAAGAUAUACCACCUUGAUGGGUAGGCUUAGUGAUAAACAUCCUGUUUAAAUAGUUUUCUUCAAGUUUUUUGAAAACUGAAAAUUUCACCUUCUGCCACUGCAAUCAUUGAGUGGGUACAUGAUAAAAGCUUCAAGUAUUCUGUUCAAAUAUUUAGUUUAAGAAGUCACUUGUGUAAACAUGAUAGAUGAUACAUUUGAUCCUGCAAGUCAUUAGAUGAAUACCGGUGUACAAUUAAACUUCUGCAAUAUUUAUAUAAUUUUCAAAAUUUGUCCUGCAACCAAGUGAUAGUUAUGACGAUAUCAGAUAAAAAAAGACCUUUUACCUCUAACCAUAAUUAAUCAAUUGAAUGAUAAAACCACCAUUUUGAUACUGUGAGAUGUGCAUGAAACAUUGCAAAACAUAAAGUGGUUUAAAUAUUUAAGUUGUUACAAGAAAAAAAAACUUGAGGGCAAAGCAUGUCCUGUUCAAUAUUAUGUCAAAUACAUGGAUGAUGGAUAUAUUAUAUUUUCCCUAUCUUGAACUUUUCUAGAUUUAUUUGGUAAAAGACUUUUAUUAAGAAUUUUUUUUAGACAUUAAAAAACUAAUAUCAGUGAUAUAUAGAGUGUGGAAGUAGAAACAGAAGUGUGCCAAUUUUAAAUUCCUCAGUGGUUUGUCAUAUAAAACUUGUUGAAUUUUGUAAACAGUUCAUUUUACUUAAUGUUGAUCUAACUUCUAAGGAAAAAAGGAAAAAAAUAGUCUGAAAUUUUGUUGUGCUUGCGUGUCAAAUGUAGAUAUUUAAAAAAUGACAGCUUAUUGUUUUCUUCAUAAUCUACAUGUAAGUUCGAAAAUCAUUCAAAAUAAAAACAGAAAAAGAAAAGAAAUAGAAGAAUCAUCAGAUUUGACCUUUAUUUUAGAAUCAGAAAAAAACAUGGAACUAGAAGAUGUUUUGUUUUUAUCAUUUUCAUAUGAAACACUUUAAAUGAUGGAUUAAAAAACCUAGAAAGUAAAGAACACGAAAAUGUUUGAUUUUGUAAAAAACAUAUUUCUAGUCUUUAUUUAGUUACACAGGAAAGUUUUCACUCAAAUUAGUUGUGUUACUGUGUUAACAUACAUUUAUUUUAAAUAAAAAUAUGAUGUAGAUUGAAUUUUUAUGUCUUUAAUAUCAACUUGUAAAUUUUUUGUUAAAGUAAAGCAGAAUUAUCUCUGCAAAAUGUUUAUAAUAGAAGUACUUAAAAUUUAAGGAAUUUUUUUUUGACAACCUGUUAAUAUGUGAUUUUUGAGUGUGAUAAAAGUUUGGAAGUAUUUUUCUUGUAAAUAUGAAUGUAUUUGAUAAAUGUACAUUUUUUCCAUUGUUUGUUUCAUUGGCUUUCAAAGCAAGCAUUAAUCAUCUAUGUUAAGUAUGCUUUGAAUUUCUAAUGGAAAGGGUCUUUCAGCUCUGCAAAUUUUAGUCGUUGGUUCUGUGUAUACACCUUAUUGCUAUUUGUCGGCCAUUACUGGACACCACAAAAGUUCCCCUAAAUUUUAAGGUCAUACUAGAAACUAUUUGAGACCUUAAGUGAAAAGUGAUUGUUGUACGAUGUCAAAAGUUCAAAGAGGGAAUAGCGAUAAGGUGUAUAGUUUUGUAUUAUUAGACUCAUUUGACAAACAAAAAAAAAGAGGAAAUAUCUGUAUUGAUGUAAUUAAACCAGUUCAGUAUUAAAUGUAUGUUAGAAUUUAUUUUACAUCAUUAGAUAUGCAAUACAGCACAAUGAAUAUUUUCUAAAAUUGGAACUAACUUAGAUAUGGAAUUCUUUAAUGAUGAAGUACAUUUAUUUUUAAAUGUUGAAAUGUAAAGAUUUACUUCAUAACCUGAACAUUUCAAAAAAUUUGCAGUAGUAGUCUUAAUAAUUUUUUAUUUUCAUUAACUAGAAAAAUUUGCAGAAGUGGUGUUCAUUUUUCAUUUGGUUGCUAGUUCCUGCAUGCAUGUAGUUGAUGAGAGAAUGCCAUAACCACAAUGUGCUGGUCACUGUAUGACUGUAGCUGUAAUCAUUGUUCUGUUGUAGAGAAUAAUGUACAAAUGAAGAGGUUAUGUGGCCAUGUUUUUGUCAAUAAAAUCACUAACUGCCAG
rnacentral:lncRNA from 1 species